GACGAACGCUGGCGGCGUGCUUAACACAUGCAAGUCGAACGGAAAGGCCCUGCUUUUGUGGGGUUCUCGAGUGGCGAACGGGUGAGUAACACGUGAGUAACCUGCCCUUGACUUUGGUAUAACUUCAGGAAACUGGGGCUAAUACCGUAUAGGAUCUCCUGCUGCAUGGUGGGCGUUGGAUAGUUUCGGCGGUUGGGGAUGGACUCGCGGCUUAUCAGCUUGUUGGUGGGGUAGUGGCUUACCCAGGCUUUGACGGGUAGCCGGCCUGUGAGGGUGACCGGCCACAAUGGGACUAAGAUACGGACCAGACUCAUACGGGAGACAGCAGUGGGGAAUAUGACACAAUGGGCGGAAGCCUGAUGCAGCAACGCCGCGUGCGGGAUGACGGCCUGCGGGUAGUAAAACGCUUUCGCCUGAGACGAAGCGUGAGUGACGGUAAUGGAUAAAGAAGCACCGGCUAACUAAGUG
rnacentral:rRNA from 1 species